CAGUGGGGAAUAUUGCACAAUGGGCGCAAGCCUGAUGCAGCCAUGCCGCGUGUGUGAAGAAGGCCUUCGGGUUGUAAAGCACUUUCAGUUGUGAGGAAGUGGUGUCGUUAAUAGCGGCAUCAUUUGACGUUAGCAACAGAAGAAGCACCGGCUAACUCCGUGCCAGCAGCCGCGGUAAUACGGAGGGUGCGAGCGUUAAUCGGAAUUACUGGGCGUAAAGCGCAUGCAGGUGGUUUGUUAAGUCAGAUGUGAAAGCCCGGGGCUCAACCUCGGAACUGCAUUUGAAACUGGCAGACUAGAGUACUGUAGAGGGGGUAGAAUUUCAGGUGUAGCGGUGAAAUGCGUAGAGAUCUGAAGGAAUACCGGUGGCGAAGGCGGCCCCCUGGACAGAUACUGACACUCAGAUGCGAAAGCGUGGGGAGCAAACAGGAUUAGAUACCCUGGUAG
rnacentral:rRNA from 1 species